rnacentral:siRNA from 1 species
UCCGAUGGGCUUGGAGACUGG